rnacentral:rRNA from 1 species
GACGAACGCUGGCGGCGUGCUUAACACAUGCAAGUCGAACGGAAAGGCCCUGCUUUUGUGGGGUGCUCGAGUGGCGAACGGGUGAGUAACACGUGAGUAACCUGCCCUUGACUUUGGGAUAACUUCAGGAAACUGGGGCUAAUACCGGAUAGGAGCUCCUGCUGCAUGGUGGGGGUUGGAAAGUUUCGGCGGUGGGGGAUGGACUCGCGGCUUAUCAGCUUGUUGGUGGGGUAGUGGCUUACCAAGGCUUUGACGGGUAGCCGGCCUGAGAGGGUGACCGGCCACAUGGGGACUGAGAUACGGCCCAGACUCCUACGGGAGGCAGCAGUGGAGAAUAUUGCACAAUGGGCGGAAGCCUGAUGCAGCAACGCCGCGUGCGGGAUGACGGCCUUCGGGUUGUAAACCGCUUUCGCAUGUGACGAAGCGUGAGUGACGGUAAUGGGUAAAGAAGCACCGGCUAACUACGUG